rnacentral:tRNA from 1 species
GAGAAUUUAGCUCAGUGGUAGAGCGCUUGCCUAGCAAGCACAAGGCCCUGGGUUCGGUCCCCAGCUCU